rnacentral:piRNA from 1 species
UGUCUAGGAUUAAAGGCAUCUGCCACAC